rnacentral:rRNA from 1 species
UACGUAGGCAGCGAGCGUUGUUCGGAGUUACUGGGCGUAAAGGGUGUGUAGGCGGUUGUUUAAGUUUGGUGUGAAAUCUCCCGGCUCAACUGGGAGGGUGCGCCGAAUACUGAAUGACUUCGAGUGCGGGAGAGGAGAGUGGAAUUCCUGGUGUAGCGGUGAACUGCGUAGAUAUCAGGAGGAACACCGGUGGUGUAGACGGCUCUCUGGACCGUAACUGACGCUGAGACACGAAAGCGUGGGUAGCAAACAGG